CAAUAUCAAAGAGCUUCGCUAACAUGCGCGCGUCGUUAAUAUCACCUUCGACAAUGAAAAUAUUUUGAGAAUUUAACAGAUUUUUCCUUGCUUUUUUCAACGAAGGGUCGUAGUAAUUGUUGAAGUUGUCGAGUCCCACGACACCGUCGUCUCGUUUUUUUCAAGGCGAGGGAAACGUGGGUGCCGACGAAACCAGCUGCACCAGUUACAAGUACGGACAUGCCGUUGACGCGAUCGCCUCGUUUUUUCAAGGCGAGGGAAACGUGGGUGCCGACGAAACCAGCUGCACCGGUUACAAGUACGGACAUGCCGUUGACGCGGUGGAUUUGGGCGGAGUCACGAACUUGUUUCUCCCAAUGAAGACUACCCCACGUUGAGGAAAGAUACCGGGUACCGGAAUCCAUAAAAGACUGAAAACUCAAAUACGACGCCGUUAAAGCAAUUAAAAACAAUGCCCAUAAAAACAUUGUACUUGUUGAAGCGAAACAUCUAUGGAAUUGCCGAUUUACAGAGUAAUAAGUUUUGUCCUUGA
rnacentral:lncRNA from 1 species